rnacentral:rRNA from 1 species
GACGAACGCUGGCGGCAGGCUUAACACAUGCAAGUCGAACGAGUGGCGGACGGGUGAGUAAUGCUUGGGAAUCUAGCUUAUGGAGGGGGAUAACUACGGGAAACUGUAGCUAAUACCGCGUACCAUAGGAUGAGCCCAAGUGGGAUUAGGUAGUUGGUGGGGUAAAGGCGCACCAAGCCGACGAUCUCUAGCUGGUCUGAGAGGAUGACAAGCAACACGGGGACUGAGACACGGCCCAGACGCCCACGGGAGGCAGCAGUGGGGAAUAUUGAGCAAUGGUGUCAACCUGAAGCAGCCAUGCCGAGUGAAUGAAGAAGGCCUUCGGGUUGUAAAGUUCUUUCGGUAGAGAGGCGUUAACUACAGAAGAAGCACCGGCUAACUCCGCGCCAGCAGCCGCGGUAAUAC